CUUCAUUAUCACACUGUAUAACUGGACAGAUGGUUCCUAACGUCUGACUGUAAAGUAUCUGAGAUCUUUGAGGGGAUUAUGUGGAUUGAGGAUAUUAUUCUACAUAGUGUUGUACACCCAGACAACAAGUAAAUGUAGUGAAUAUACCGGAGGGUGUGCAUUUAGGGAAUGCAUUUCAAAGUGUCUAUAGUCACAGACGGCGCAGAUUCUAAUUGUAGCAUUCUGUUUUCUAGGUGAAAUUGAAACCCAGCGGUGUAACCCUUCAUGGUUUGACUAAAUGGGUGCCUCGACCUGGACCAAUGGACCGCAAGCCGGUGGUCUACUCUCAGAGCGCUAUCUAGGGAAGGCAGAGCCUACAAGCAGGGCAGAGCUCAACACCGCCUCCCUCAGUAAGUACAAGAACGUGAUUGACAGCUGUGGAGGAUGGGGGCUGUUCCAGGAGCUGCUGGUUGCCUUGGAGACGGUCGCCAGGGGCCACGGCUGCUCCAUCGCCAACGUGGCUACCCACUACGUCCUGGACCGGCCUGCUGUGGGUGGAGUCAUCGUGGGCUGUCAUCUCGGUGUUGCCGGGGCAGAACACAGAGGACAGCCUCCACGGCUGCAGCCCAGAAUUGGAACUCACGGCGCAAGACCUGCGCACCAUCGAUGGAGUGGUGCAGCGCUCGCGUGA
rnacentral:lncRNA from 1 species